rnacentral:rRNA from 1 species
ACAAACCGGAGGAAGGUGGGAUGACGUCAAGUCCUCAUGGCCCUUAUAGGUGGGGCUACACACGUCAUACAAUGGAUGGUACAAAGGGUCGCCAACCCGCGAGGGGGAGCCAAUCCCAUAAAGCCAUUCGUAGUCCGGAUCGCAGUCUGCAACUCGACUGCGUGAAGUCGGGAUCGCUAGUAAUCGUGGAUCAGAAUGUCACGGUGAAUACGUUCCCGGGUCCUU